rnacentral:lncRNA from 1 species
UCGCUCAUUAAAUGCAACAACGUCAUAUCUCAAAAAAUCGAAUUUUUGAGUUAUGUGGUUUAACAGAAAGUAAAUUGUAUAAAGUUUACUUUGUUAGAUCGAUAUAUCUGUAACUUAACAAUUAACUGAGAGAUGGCGCCAAACGAUUGUAGUAUUUCUGCGACGAGGUCUAAAUUUUUACCGCAAGAGUGUUUUAUUUCAGUUGUGGUUUGUCAGUUGAAGUGGCACGUGCUUACGCUUUUGUUUAAAAACGUGUUAUUGUGUUUUAUGAGGAUAUUUCACUAAAGGUAAGAUCUUUUAUUUGAUAAUAUUUUAUUUCAAUAACGCAUUAUUUAGAAUUAGUACUUUUUUCGCCAAAAAAUGAUAAACGUUUAGGUUUUAAUAAUUAAAAAUAUGACGCUAUUGUUCUGAAAAAAAUAUUUGUUUGGUGUAUUAUUUUUUCUUAAGACUUUAUUACAAAGAAUUUAAUAUUUUUUUUGCUGGAGGUGUCUGAGUUUUUGUAAACAAUAUGACUUUAUUGUUACAAAAUAUUAUUUAAAAAUUUAAAAGGAAUAAUAUUUAUUUAAGGUUAGGUCAAUCUUUAAACACAACUUUUUUCUCCAUUUGGGAUUGCAACCAAUUGAUUACAUUAAAUUUUACUAAUUUUUAAAUUUAAAACCAAAAAUAAUUGCAUAUUAUGUUUAUUUGUCUAAUACUUUUUAUUUGAUCUAAUUUAAAAAAUAUACUAUUUUAGGCUUUCAACGUAAUAAUGUCCUAAAUUUCGCUUAAAAAAGAUUCAGCAGCUUUUAAAGCAGCAGCAAUCUACCAAUGAGGAUGCAUCGACCGAACAGUAUAUGUCUGACUACACAGUUUCUGUUUUUGAAUGUGAAAAUGGUACCCCAAAGAAUAUGCUCGACAAUGAUGAACAACAAAACAAACAAGAAUAUGAAACAAACGUUUCAGAGAUGGACAAUGAGUUUUUUUUGUAAAAAAUCAAGAAUCUUCAAGUACACUAGGUGAUAAGAAUAUAGCUGUUCCUGGAGUUUCUAAGUCAACAAGUUCUUCAUCAUCUUCAAGCAGCUGUUGUAGUAGGUGUUCUAGUAGGUCUUCCAGUAGUAGUAGCUCUUCUUCGUCCUCUGAAGAUUGUGAAGACAUAAUUAACGAUCAUAACUAUGUACCAAAGAGUGAUGAAGAAUCAGAAGAGUGUGAUAAAGAAAACCACGACGACGGUAAUAAUGAGCCUAAUCAAACCUUAUCAGCAAACCAAGACAUUCCUAUUCUUGUUACACCCCCAAAGAAAGGCAAGAAACGUCAACGGAAUACUGAAAACUGGAAGAGAAAUCUUACAAAAAAAAAAUGAGUAGUUGUGGUGAAGCCUACCAAACUCAUUCAAAAAACAAAAAGAUGAGACAAAAAAGACAAGUAAGGUAUCCGUGCAAAGAUUGUAAACUCAAGUGUCCAUCUAAAUUUACCGAAGAGGAGAGAAUACAGAUUUUUUUCAAGCUAAUGGUCACUCGGUGAAGUUCAAAAUCAGAGAGUAUAUUAACAAACUGUUGGUACCAGUUGUACCCCAAUAUCGGUAUAUUCGUGUCGGAGGUACAAGAAAACCCAGAGACAAAAA